CAGUCGCCGCGGUAAUACGGAGGGAGCUAGCGUUGUUCGGAAUUACUGGGCGUAAAGCGCGCGUAGGCGGUUACUCAAGUCAGAGGUGAAAGCCCGGGGCUCAACCCCGGAACUGCCUUUGAAACUAGGUAACUAGAAUCUUGGAGAGGUCAGUGGAAUUCCGAGUGUAGAGGUGAAAUUCGUAGAUAUUCGGAAGAACACCAGUGGCGAAGGCGACUGACUGGACAAGUAUUGACGCUGAGGUGCGAAAGCGUGGGGAGCAAACAGGAUUAGAUACCCCAGUAGUCCCUGUCUCUUAUAC
rnacentral:rRNA from 1 species